CCCUAUGGGGUGCAGCAGGCGAUUGCAUAUUCGAAGGAUAACGGGGAUGUGCCGAUGUCCGGCCUGGAGGGAUUUGUGAGACAGAUCAUUGGCUGGCGGGAGUUUGUACGGGGCAUGUACCAUUCCUCAAAACUGCGAGGCAAUUUCUUUGAGAACAAGGGGCUGCUUGAUGAGCGAUGGUAUCACGGUAGACUUGGUAUGGAGCCUGUGGAUAUCACGAUAAAGAAGGUUAUGCAGUUUGGAUACUGUCACCAUAUAGAGCGUCUGAUGAUCCUGGGGAAUUUCAUGCUUCUGUGCGGCAUUCAUCCGGAUGAGGUGUACAAGUGGUGCAUGGAGCUAUUCGUGGACGCUGCGGACUGGGUAAUGGUUCCUAAUGUAUAUGCUAUGAGCCAGUUCGCUGACGGCGGGAGGGC
rnacentral:rRNA from 1 species